rnacentral:rRNA from 1 species
UACGGAGGGUGCAAGCGUUGUCCGGAUUUAUUGGGUUUAAAGGGUGCGUAGGUGGGGUCUCAAGUCUGGUUUGAAAGUUAGCUGCUCAACAGUUAGACGUGGCUGGAAACUGGGGUUCUGGAAUGGGUUGGCGGCUGCCGGAACGGGUCAUGUAGCGGUGAAAUGCAUAGAUACCGUCCAGAACCCCGAUUGCGCAGGCAGCUGCCUAGACUGGAACUGACGCUGAGGCACGACAGCGUGGGGAGCGAACAGG